rnacentral:lncRNA from 1 species
CUUCACCUGAGCGCAGCAGCUCGCCGGAACCGCCACGUUCGGGUCCUGCGCCGCCGACGCGCAUGGGAACAGCUUCAUCGCCUCCGCGUCUGGCGUCGAAUUCGGGCACUCGCCAGCCGCAUCCGCCGCGAUCACGACAAUCGCGACGAAUGCCAGAGCAAAGAGCCACUUGACUGAUACUUUCAUUUUCUUGACUUGAAUUCGUUAUCGUUGUUGUUGUUAUUGUUGUUAUUGUGAUUUUGGUUAGAAAUUUGGUGUUUAUAUAGUGUUAGAGUUCGUUGGAGGAAUUAAUUGAUUUGGAAAUGCACCAUAUAUUAUAGUGGGGCGGCCACUAAAAUGGGAGCUCGAGAGUUGUGGUGUGGCACUUGGAUUAUUAGUAAUUUAAUUGGGUUGUUGAUUAUUAUUUAUGGCGAUUUGUGCAAUCUGUAUUGGAUGUUUGUUUUAGUCAUCAAAUCAUAAGGUCGAGUGGUGGAGUGUAUGGUUUAAUUUCUCAAGAAUGUCCCUUCACCUACUGCACUCUCUCUCCGUUCACUGAAAAUAUGAUACUUUUAGUAGAUAUAUAUUUUAAUAAAAUUGAUUGUGAUUUUUAUGUAGUUAAAAAAGGGUUUCAUUAUUAUAUAAAAUGAGUGAUUGAGACUAAAUUAAUUCUAAAUUUUUUUUGUAAAUAAUAUUCCCUCUAUUAAAGAAGGUAAGUUUGUAGUGUAAAAUAUGUGAAUCCAUGUCUAUUAUAGUGAAAAUUUAUUACACAAAAUAUAACAGGCUAAGUCGGGUGGUACAUCACGAAAAAGAAAUUAGAUCAAGUGAAAUGGAACGAAGGGUACCCAGGUAUUUGUAACGAUAAAAGAUAAAGAAAAUAUGUGGAGCCAUGUUCCAAAAAAGAAAGUUCCAUAAUUUGAUGGAUUCAAAAAUAGUAAAAAUAUCAUGCUUCCUUUUGUUACUGAUUUGACUUUCAAGUUAUUCGUAAACAAAUUUAACAGACUCAUUGGUAUUGUUCAGGUUUUUAGGCUGCUUGCAAUUAUGCGAUUGGUUAAAUGCCAUGAGAUUGAGAUCUUUGUUCCAUUAUAAACAUCUCAUAAUUUUGGAUAUCGAGAAAAAAAAAAAUAUAAAUUGAUUAAAAGUAGUAGAAUUCAUAUUAAUUUUUUUUAACAACUAACAAAAACAACGUGUGUUACACGUGUAAUUUCAUUUAAUCUGAUCAAAGUAAAAAAUAUAGAUUUUGGAAUGAUUUUAUUCUUUAAAUUUAGAAAGUUGACUUAAUUAUUUAUCAUUUACAAUUAAAAUGAAAAUCAAUAAUACUUUUAAUAAAUUAAUUAAAAUAUAACAAAUUAUUAUUCAUAAUUCUUCAUUAGUCAAUAUAUAAAAUUAUUCAUUUUCAUAUAAUAAUAAUAAAAAAAGAAUUAAUGCAUGUUCUCGGAUAAAUAAAUAAACUUUGCUAUAAUCCAAUUAACUAACUUUCCACUCAGGAUAUAGGUGCCAACUAUUUGAUUAUUUAUUUUUGCACGAAAUUAUAAGUUGACAAAUCAAAUGACAAUUGGAAAUCUUCUGAAACUAAACCAUGUGUCAAAUAAAUAAAUCACAUAUAAGGUGAGUUAUUAUUCAAUAGAUCUAUUUUUAAUGUCAAGUUACAUAUUUGUUGAAUUUAAUAAAUAAAUAAAAUAAUAUGAAAUUGGUGGAUGUUGGGAUAGGACAAAUUUGAAAUAAAAACAUGACAAACCACCGAACUCAUUUAAUGAUUCCAUUGGAGAUCGUGGUUUGUUGGCCACGAUUUCUCGUAAUCGGUAUUUGAUAUUCUAUUUUGACUUAUAAAUACAAUCUCUCCGUCUCACGAAUCUUGAUACAUCUAUUUUCGGUACAAAAAUCAAGGAAUUGUAGAUUAGUUUUUAAAAUGUAGACAUUAAUUAAAAAAUUCUCCUUUAUAAGAGGUCUUGGGUUUAAUCCCGUCCGAAUCGCGACGUCUGAAUCGCGUCUGAAUCUAAAGCUUAGGCAGCAGGACGGUGGGAAGGUGGGCGAGUGGCGACUGUGUGUGUGAGAGUCCAAAGAUUGGGGUUUGCUGCCAACUUGUUGUGAAGUAGGUUUAGGGAGUGUUUGGGUUUUUUCGCAGAAAGGGCAUGUUGGACCAAUAUCUCAUACACAAAGCCCAUAUUCAAAGGAUAUUUCGUGGAUAUUUUUGCAGGUAAUUUUCACAGGUAAACAGGUUUUACGGGUAUGAAUAGUAAGUAUCCAAACUCAUACCCGCGAACUAAAUGGAUAGUGAACUUUAACCACGAAGCUAUUUGCGGAUUCAUGGAUAUCAAAUGCCCCUCAAACCCGCACUUAUUAGGGUCGGAUACUCGCAGAUAUUCGUUACCCGCGGUUUAGAUACCUAUUGUAAUUCUAAUUAAAAAAAAAAGUUUUCUUCUUUUUAGUAUUUCAAUUAAGUAGUUUAACUGAUUAAUAAUUGUAUUGAACGGACGGUGUGAUUAUCGGACUAGAGUUGGAAUAUGGGCCCCUAAGCUUCUGUUGAUGGAUCAUUGCCAAAACCAAAUAAAAAUGAAUAUUAAGCACCAGAAUACUAACUUCCAUGAUAAAAUUAUCUUAUUAUAAAAACAGAAACGGGGAGAGAAUAGAUAAAUAAAUAUAUUAUGCUAUCCCGCAAGAGACAUACAAAUAUUUGUUACAAAGGUAACUCAUUUAUUUCUAUGAUAAUUACAUUAUUUAAGGCUAGAAGAACUAGCUCGGGACACAAGACUCUAUCCCAUAGACAUAAUUAUAAAUUGAAAUUACGCAUCGAUCUUCUUCAUCCCAGCAUGGGCUCAAGGCAAAGUGUAGGCUGCAAAAAUAAACCAAUAAAUAAAUAAAUAUUAAUUCCUUAAAACAUAAAAACGAAGAACCAUUCUCAGCUUCUUCGAUCAUCAAAAUCUACGUUUAGAUGCAUCAUCUUGCUAGAUGAAUGCAUCGCCUCAAUUCAAAAACUGUAGGAAGCAAAGAAAAAAAAAUCUAUUUUCAAGUGCAUUAAUUUUAGCAGAAUGCAUAGUUUUCACGAAAAAACGUAGUUCACAUGAUAAAAUGAAGUACUCGACAAUAUAUACGAGCACGAGUAAAAAUAAAAUACGAGACUGAAACACAGAGAGGAUGGCUUACGUCCACACUUAUAUCCGACGGGUCUAUCGGCAAAGUUGCAUCUCUUCGGAAUGGUCAAUGCCACCUCCGGCUUCACGCCGGAGCUCUUGGCGGUGUUCGACAGCAUCACGGCGCACAUGCAUUUCGGAUUCUGCCCCAGCCGCUUCACCUGAGCGCAGCAGCUCGCCGGAACCGCCGCGUUCGGGUCCUGCGCCGCCGAGGCGCACGGGAUCAGCUUCAUCGCCUCCAUGUCCGGCGUCGACUUCGGGCACUCGCCCGCUGCAUCCGCCGCGAUCCCGACGAUCGCGAGGAAUGCCAGAGCGCAGAGCCACUUGAUCGACACUCCCAUUUUUCUCAACUCAAUUUUCUCGGUGAUAACAAUGUCGGUAUUGUUGUUGUUGUUGUUAGUGAUGGUUUGUAAUAACACGAGAUGGCGUGGUGUUUAUAUAGUGCUGAGUUUUGGGAAGGGUUUAGUGUCGAAAUUGGACGAGUGGAAAUCCACCAUUUUAGUGGGGAGCUCAAAUAAAUUUAGUGCAUGUAGCACUUAGAAUUAUUAAAAAUAAAAAUCGAUUAUUGAUUAAGUGUCGAAAAAGCCCCUUCACCUACUCUCAUCACUGUGAAUGUAACUAAUUUUGGCAUUUGAAGUGGAAGAAAGAUCAUCUGUGCGGUCGGAUCUCAUCAGAAAUCGGUGAUCGUAAAGCAGUGGCGGAGCCAGAAUUUUGCAUUCGGAAAUGUGGCAAAAAUAAUUACAUAUUGAUAUAAUUAUAAACAUAAAAAAUAUUUAAUAAUAAAAGUAGUACAUUCCAUAACAUUGGAAUUUUUCAGUUUUAAACUUUAUAUACUUUAAAAUACAAAAGAAAAUUACAUAGUUUUCUAUUUUUUUGACGAGUCUUCGUUUGUUGAAAGCGACUGACAGCCUCAUUAUUAGGAACUUGUAGAAACAUAUACUCUCUCCGUCCCAUUCCAAUAGUCUCAUUUUUCUUUUCGGGACGCUCCACUCCAAUAGUCUCAUUUUUAUUUUUGGUAAUGGUUUUACAUUACAAACAAUAUGGUCACGCACACCUUUACUCACUUUUACACUCAAAAAGCAAGUUUGUUAAUCUUCGUUACCAAAUGAAGUGGAACUAUUGGACUGAGACGGCGGGAGCAGUAUUUUUACAAUUUACAAACAUGCAAUUAUAAAACUAAAAAUCAACAAUUUGCAUCCACUCAAUCAAAUCACUACCAGUUCACUAUUGAUCCUUGAAUCAAAUUAAUUUAGGAUUUUAAGGUUUAAUAGUGAAUAUCUUAAGUUAAUAGAUGAGAGCCAAAUAGUGAAACAACAGAGGAACUGGGGAAGACGAGCAGGCAGCAGAGUUUCUAUUCUUCUUUUUUUUAUGAAUAAAACUAUACUAUAUAUUUAUUUCCGACUUGUUGUGAACAAAAUUAUAAUUUCGUCUGCCCAAAUUUGUUAAAUACAAAAAUAUAAUUUCGUCCGCCCAUUUUCAAAAUCCUAGCUCCGUCCCUGACUACCUAUCUAUGAGCUGCGAAAUCGACUCUUUCCGGAUCGAAGACGAAUCCUUGGCUUCCAGGCUCACGCUGUUCGAGACAGCGUCAGCGCCGUCGCGGUUUAGGCUGCAGCCGCUCACCUUCCCGUCGCCGGCAAGAUAGUUCGUGAGGACUCUCUUCACUCCUAUACCGCGUCGUGCUGCAGGCUUGUUGCAGCUCCCGGCCGGGAAAGGAGUCCUCUCCCCUUUCGCGGGGCUGGCGAGAGGAGGACCCGGAGAUUUGCUAGGCGUCGUGUAAGCCGUCCGGUAAGGAGUGCCCGAGACGGACACUGAGUACGGGAUUGGUAUCUUCCGGUGAGACAUCAAGCUGACGGAGCGCGCUGACGAGAGCUUGUCGGACUGCUUGUUGAUGUCGUCCACGUAGAGCAGAUCCUCGACGCGUGCUGCAAUGUUGAACGCGAGGCUCUCCAAGACCCUCGAGUAGCUCUCCAAGAUGGACUUCCCGACAUCCUGACACGCGAAACGACACCAUCAAAACGAGGUUUAGGGAAAGAGACGAUACGUUGUUAAGAGGAUCAAGCACUCGAGCUAAGCUGAUUAUGAUGCGGACCUUGUUGUACUGUAUCUUGGUGGCGUCUAACGUAGUCUGCGUGAGCCCCGGGAAUCGCUGCUUCAACGAUUGCAGGAGGGUCUCGGCUCUCUCAGCGAGCAGCUCCCUCUUGUCACCGUACGUCACCAGAUCCUUCACCAUCUCCCAAGAUGAUCUGGCGGCGCAGUGGCUCGGAUGAGCUGCGGGUUUGGGGUGCUGCCUUCUACGCCACACGUAGAUUGCUGCCUCCAGCGGUUGCCAUCUCCAGAGCAGCAUGCUCGGAUGAAAGAUCGAGGCAGUCGAGCAGGCACUCAGGGGAGAAAUGCUCUGAGGUGAUGUAACGGUAGAUGACAUCCCCGAGACAAGCUCGCCCCGUCUGAACGUUGAAACGGAAGAAUCAUAACAAACUAACAUUGUGUUUAGAAUCACAAAAAGGCUAAUAAAAAUGGAUGGAAUCAAACCUUUGGAAGAGUUUCCAAGUAUGAUUGUGGAACUUCCAUCUCAGCCAAAGCAGUGGUGUUGAUGGCAGUAGCAGCUUUGAGAAUUUGAUUUGCAGAUUCGAGCUUGUGACUCAAUAGCUUCCUCGCGGCCUCGGGCAGACCACCGGGAGGAACACGUGGAACGGGCAGCCACCACUUCUCCUCCUGCCGUUGAACAGCUUUCUGGAAGGAGACCGAUCCAUCAGCUUCCGGUGCAACUAUACCUUGAUCGACAUACCAAAAUUCGUCUUGGAAAAUCCAUCGAGUAUUUCCUAAUACGGAGGGAUUCGACAUACAAAUGAGACAGAUAUUCAUAUCAUAUCACCACCAACAGCAACAACAACAAAAUAAAGCUGCAAACUUAGCUAACUCUUACAAGUAGCAUGUUAUCAAGUUUCUGAAGAGCUGGCAGAUUAAUAAAGAGAUCUGAUCUUGGUUGGCAGCUCAUAACCUGAAGCAUCGAGUCGAAAUCGCCAAAAUUAUGAGAAUGCAAACUAGAAGUUAUCCAUUACUCAACUGUAUAUCAAUCUAUGCUUCAAUAAUGACACAAAAAUAUGUUUCCUAAAACAAGAAAGGAAAAGGGGCUCUACCAGAGAGUAUAUACAUCUGAUUGAGGGAGGCUAUACGAGCGUGGUUCUAGAUCGAGUUAACGUGAGAGAAUUUCAAGCAAAAAACAUAGGGUUGAUUACCUCAACUCUACCUCCAUUUGCAAAUGUUUGCCAAGAUGGUUUGAGUUCAACAAUAUGAUCACUCACAGAGAGAAGCCAUCCCAUCUCUCUUCGCCACAUUGAUCUCUUUUCGGGAGGCAACGGUUCCAAUCUCCAUAAUUGUCCAAACACAGAAGCUACACAUGAAAUUUGCAGGAAAACAACUCAACUCAAUGCAGGAGACAGACAGAGAGAGAGAGAGAGAAACAAUAGAUUUGUGAUGGCAUUUGAGAUGGUGAGUGCAGGACAAACUCCUUUACCACUUCCUGACAUAUCUUCACCAAGCAACAGCUUUGCAAACCGCUCUUUCAUCAUCUCAAUUUCUAUUCAAAAUUCAAAACAAACAGUUACAAACAGUGAAACUCGAAGGGCUCACUUCAUAAAUUCAGAUUAAAUUGUUCAAUUAUCACACACAGUUUGAUAACAAUAAAUGGAGUGUAGUCCCCAAAAAAGCAAGAAAAUUAAACAGCAUUAAACUGACCUGAAUAUUUAGAACCCUGCUUUUUACCCCCGGAUUUAUCAUCACCACUCUCAACAUUCAAACAAGGCUUGCUUUUGCCUUCAACUUUCAUAGAAUUUCCCGUCUUUCCAAUCGGCCAUCCAAAUUGAGUCGAAGAAGAAUUAUCAUCGGAACUCGGUCUGCUACCACCUCUUGCCUCAGUCCCAUCUUUCUUCUCCAUUUAAACAACAAAAAAGAAAAGUUGCCAAAAAAAGGGGCGGAAAAACCCGCUAUUUUUGUUCAAGAAAAGAGGGGCUCAGUUUGAAUUCUGCCUUUUCCCGAAAUGGGUUCAUCAAGACCCAUCAAUUCCAGCGUAAAGAUUCAAUCUUUACUACUGUGAAAGAGGAAAAAAGGCGGAAUUCAAAUGGAAGAGGAGUUUAAGAAGGGUUGGAGAGAGAUUUGUCACAUAGAUUCUGGGCACAGUGAUUUUAUUCUCUGAUAGUGUGGGGACUGUGUGUUUUUGUUGCAGAAAUUUUGAUUUUUGAUUUUUUCAGGGGGUUGAGACUUGAGAUAACUGCCUUGUGUUGUGCCAAAUCCAACGUCUAUUUUCUUUUGUUUGCACAUGGAUUUGAAGCACAUUCAAAUUUUGGUGUAUGAAAUUCAAAGGGAUGAUUUCGACAUUAAAAUUCAUCCCUUUUUUGGAUUUUAUUCCAAGUGCCUCCAUCUUCAUUUUAGUUUUCUUUCUCUUAUUUAUCAUUCAUACGCAAUGAACAUUUAAAUCAAUGUCAUGUAUAGUAACUUAGACUAAUUAUUUAAUUUAUUAAUAUUAUGUGUUUAAAUUUUAUUGAUAAACAACGAAUCGAUUUAUAAUGAAGGCAAAUAUAUAGACGUUGCGAUUUCAAAAUAUCCUAGAGGUAGUUUAGUAAUUUCCCAUCAUUUCAUCUUCAAAUUUUGUUCUUUUCCUCAGCAGAAGUGACAAAAUCUUCGGUGGUUUCAUUCUAAAUUUAAAUUUUAAAGUUAUUACUUCAUUCGUCUCACUUCAAGUGUCUUGUUUUUCAUUUAUGAAAAAAAGUUAGUCCCAAAAAAUAAGAAUUUUUGGGGCUCACAUCACCUUUUCAACUCUACAUUACACCACUUAAUAAUCUAAUUAACUUUUUUCCUAACUACCUAAUCGAAAGAAACAGGACACUUGAAGUGGAACGAAUAGAGUAUUGUUUUUUCAAAUAUUAAAAAAAUUGUUAUUGAUUCAAAACUUCAUUUUUAUUAUCAUAUGUAUAAUUUUCAUGUUUAUACUAUGUUUAGAUGGAACUUCAUGAACUAGUUUUGUAGUUCCAUCAUUGCAACCAGCAUCUUAUAAAUUUAAUUCUCUAAUGCUUGUAUUGAUUACUAAUUUACAAAAGUAAGUUUUACAAAAUGUACCAAAAAAUGUAACGUGUAUUAAAAGUAUAUUAGGUAACAAAUAAAAUACUUAAUUUUCUAAAGUGAUGGAAACAUAAAACAAAGUGCAAAAUAGAGAAAUUGGACUAGUAACGGAAUUCGUAUUUUAUGUUGACUUUGGCAGAUGAAAGGUUUAAAUUUGAACUUGGGAUUCAAAAGCUUCUUAGUUUAAUCAUAUUGUUAUAAAGUGAUGUGGAAAUUCGACCAUUCACUUUUAUUCAAACUAUAUAACGUAUUUCCAUCUCAUCUUGUUGACAAAUGUUGACAAAUGUGUCACUUCUUCUAAUGUCACUAGCUAAGAAGAAAAUUUUGAAUUGCUUUUUGUACAGCUGGUUAUGAAUAUUUAUAAUGAUAAUGUUUUAUUUUAUGAUAAUGCAAUAUUUUUAUAUAUAUUUAUUUAGAAUAAAAAUAUGUAUGAUGUUAUGUAAUUUUACAUAUAUUUAUUGAGAAUAAAGAACAGAGAGAUAAAUUAUUACUGAGAAUGCUAUCUCUCGUGAGAAUGAGAAUUGAUUUGAAUAAGCAGUAAAAAAAUUUUGAUCUGGAAAAAAGCAAUCUAUUAAGAUGAGAAAAGUUCAAGGUACCAGAGGUACCAAUAACAAAGUACAAAGAAAGAAGAACAACAGAAUAAAAAUCAGAAAAGAACCACUCCAACAAACAUCACCCAAUCAUCCCAAAACUCUAUUUUCAGUCAUCCAAGUUCGAAAAUAAGCAGUAAAAUAUAUGAAUAAACUUUUUGUAAUGCAUGAAUAACCAUUGAAAUGUGGGUUUGAAUCUUGGAGGGGGGGGGGGGGGGAUUUCAUUAUAUUAUAUAAAUACGUUAUUUAUGCUUUACAAUCAGCUUAUUCAUGGAUUUAUACUGGCUUAUUUAUUAUUCUCACUUAUCACGAAAAAUAUUAUCCUCGCUAUAAUCUAACUCGACUGUAUAUAUAAAGCUUCCGUUGAAAAUGUUAAAUGUAUUGAGAAAUGAGAAUGUGUGUGAACUCUCGCGAACAAGUCAAUAAUUGUUAUGAACAAGCAUUUUGGUUUGGGUUCGAAUUUUGGAGGGGGCGAGAUUUUCACCAUAUUAAAUAGAUAUGUUUGUUCAUCAAUAUUAUUAAUUUAGAAUUUAUUAAUUUAUUUAUUAUUCUCAUUUCUAACAAAAAUAAAAUAAAAUAAAAUUCUCAAUACAACCUAAAUAGUCAAAUAACAAGGGAAUGAAAAAUUAAAACAUGCACUAUUAAAUAUUGAAAAUGAUAUAGUAAUACAUACUCUAGAGUGUUGGUAUUAUUAAAGCUAUCAUUGACUCUUAAGAAUCUUAAAAUUUGAAAUCUUGUUUUGGAGUAUUUUACCCUCAACUUUUCAAGAAGAUUUAACUUUUUUUUCACGUUUGCUUUCUUCAAUUCUAUACAAGUGACGUUUUGUUCUAUAUGUAAUUGAAGAAAUCGAUUUUCCCAUCAUAUUAAAGUUGAAAAUCAUAAUUCUCAAUUAAGCAACCUCUUGUUGAUGCAUAAAAAAAAAGAAAAAAAAAGAAGAGUUACUAUGGAAUGUUAGGUGCUAGAAUGUAGGUAUCCAAAAUAAAAGGUCUUAGGGUGUAUAAUUUUUCAUCAAAUAUUAUGAUUGUUCCUAGCUAGGAGGAUUAGGUAGCUAAAAGGGAAAAUAUCAAAAAGAAAAUGUUGCAAGUAUAAUAGUUCUAUAAAUUAGUAUUUCCUUAUUAUUAUUUUUUUUUUAACUUCGUCACCCUAGGAAUCCCAAAGUUGUCCAAACAUUAUCAUGUAUCAGUGUUAAUAUAUAUUGAUUGCUAUUUGACUACAUUUUUCAUUACUUUUGUUAAAGAUUAAUUUAAGCCGUUUUUUUAAUAUUCAUUUCGUUCCAUUUAUCUUGUGACAUUUUCUUUUUUGGGCGACCCACCUAUCUUGAAACAUUUUUUUACUUGGUAAAAGUUUUACCCUUCAUUCACCUUUUUACCUACACACAAAAUACUAGUUUUCUUAAUUUUUGUGCUCAAAAAAUGUCUCAAUAUAACCGGGAUUGAGGAGUAUUAAAUGGAGUAGAUAAAUUCGAAAUCGACAAGAGGGAAGGAAAGUUGCUUUUUUGACUUGCUUAGAGGAUAGGAAGGAAAUAGAUAAAUAAAUAAAUAUGACAGCCAUUUUAUAACAAACAUUCAAAAAAAAAAAAUUUUCCUAAUUUUUUUUCCUCACCUUUUUCAUUGAUCUUGUUGAUAAAGUGAAUAAACCUGCGUCUAAGAAAUUAUUGAUCUGAAUUUCAGAGUGCCUUUUAUUCAAAUUCAUGCUAAAAAGUUUAUAAGUUUGUCUAACAUUGCUUGUUGCUAAAAGAAAAUAAAAAACCAACCUAUACUCGUUUUGCAAUUUCGAUCUCAUUUUCAAAUUUUUGCAAAUAAUUAUCAAAUUUUUUAAAUUUUUGCAAUUAGGGUACAUUUUCUCAAUUUUUUCGACGACCGCAAAGAUGAUGUGGAUAUCAUCGUUGACUGCAAUUUAAUACUAGAGAAUGAGUAAACGAUAUCAUUUAAUAUGCACUUGAGCACAAAAAAUUAAAAUUUACAACUCGAAUAUUAUUAAACAGAAGUAUUUUCAAUAACAAAAAACGAAGUUUUUUAAACAAAAGCUGGUAAAUGCCAACAACAUAAUGAAUUUUCUUUUAGAAAAAGCUACUGUUACUUUGAGGCUUUGUGCCCAUCAACUUUAUCCUAAGCAUUUUGAAUUUAUAUUAACCAUUUUGUUUUUUGUUUUUUUAGAAAGAAUUCAAGUGACAACUAGCUAGUAAACUACAUAACGUGAUUCUAUAGUUUAAAAUAGUGAUUGAUUAUCUAUUUAAAAUUGUUAAAUUGCUACUUUAUGCAUCUCAGAAAUCUUUUUUUUNUUGCUCUUUAAAAUUAGCUGGGUUCCAGAUUGUUCAUGGAUUGUUUAAUGAUCACCUAAAGUUUUAGAUUGAUCAUCCAGUCAUUUAAAAUAAAAUUUCAAAUUAAAAAUGAUGGAUUUCAAAUUCACAACUUGCAAGAGAAUAAAAUUGAAUUAGGGCAAUAAAUAAUUGGAAAAGAUAAAUAUUUUUUUACAAGUUUAGAAGGAAUAAUUUGGUAAUUGGUUCCCAGCUUCUCAAUUGUUUUGUUACUCAGCAUUUCUACUUACUACUGUAAUUCUAAAUAUAAAAACAACAGUAUGGAUUUUUAUUUUUAAGUUUUUUAGAUGAAAAAAAGANAAAAGAAAAGAGAAGCUAUUUGAAACUUUUGCGCAGCCCAGAAAUUGUAAAUGGGCCUAUUUAUAGUUUUCAGUGAGUUCGAAAUAAUGUACUGGGCUGGGCUGGGCGGGCCUAAGUGUCAUUGCAAUCCACUAAGAAUUUCUACAUGAGUUUUAAGAUCUUUUUUUUUUCUUUUUGAUAAAUUAACAAUAUUAAAUAAAGAAAUUUAAAGGUUGCGCCACAUGGAAAUCGAACUCAAGACCUUUGACCUUAGACAUUAAAAAUAGUUGCGUGAAAAGAGAUAUGAGUUUAAUUCAUAAAUAUAUGUGUUUACUCAUUUUUUUUUGUUACACUCGAAGAAAAAAAAAACACACUCAUACUCUAGUUUUUUAAAUGACUCGAACCCCCGAUCUAUUGGUUGUAGAAUAAACGUCUUACCAACAGACUGCGCUUCAUCAUCGUGUGUUUACUCAUUUUGAGGAUUUAUAAUUUAAUGGAUUGAUUCUUUUAGUUUAUUGAGGGUUGGAAAGAUAAAUACACCUUAUGCAUUUUGAUGCUAACAAGAAAAGGAUGAUAUUUCAUAUUCCAAACAUUCCAAAAUCUUGGGUGACUAAACCUAAUUGAUUAUCAAUAGACUCUAAAUAAAAUUAAUACUAAAUUACAAACGCGAUUUAUAAACAUAAUAAACCUCUAGUUAAUAUACUAUUAAUGAACUACGCCACACAAAUGGUUGUGUAUAUUAAUGAAGUAAGGAGUAAUCAACUGUUUUAACAUAAGGAGAGGAGGAGAAAAAGAUAAAAUAUAGUAAAAAUAAAUAAAUAUGUAGGAACAUAUAGUAUUAUAAAGAUUAAAAACCUAUAUAUUUAUAAAAAAUCAAAUAUAAAAUGUAAGGAUUAAUCAUCACUUUAUAUUAAAAACCUAUAUAUUUAUAAAAAGACAAAUAUAAAAAUGUAAGGAUUAAUCAUCACCUUAUACCAAAAAAAAAUAGUAACAUAUAUAUGUAUAGAGAUUCAAGUAAGAACCGCUAAAUAAAAUAAGAAUCGAUAACUAUUUUCAGCUAUUCGAUUAUCAAGAUUUAUUAUGGAUGCAUCAUGUUGCUGAAUGAAUGCAGUAUUUGGGUUCGAAUUCUGAAAAAAGUAAAUUUUAUGUAUAUUUUUUUUGUGAGUGUAGUAAAUUUAACAAUAAAUACAUUAAUUUUUACAAUAAAUACGAUAAUUUUAAUGAUUUUUAGGUUCAUGUGAAAAUCGUAAUUUCCAGCAAUAUACUCUUUGUCAGCAAUCAAUCAUUAUCAUAAACUUAUUAAACAUGAAUAAUGUUUUGUAGUAAAAGGAUAUUUUUAGAGAAACGGUGCAGCCAUAAUUAACACAUGGAUAAUGUUUUGAAAGGAUAUUUUCACAACUUAUACAAAUGCUCAAAGUGUCCAAAAAUGUAUGGGGCAGUCCAAAAGUUUUGCCAUUAUUUGAGAAAUUAUUAGUGCUGUCGUCGUCAGGUGAUAAUUUUAAUUCUAUACUAUUCUAUUCUAUUCGAGCUUAUCUCGUAUUUUGAGAUUAAAAAUUUAAAUCAAGAAAGCCUACCAAUACUAACUUGAGAUUCUAUCAUGUCAAAAAAUAAAUACCGUCGUAACUAUCCAAAGGGUUGAUAAUCACCAGGCAUGAAAAUAAAAACCAUGUGCAACUUCAUGUGCUGAGAAUUAAUUACGACCUAACUAUGUAAUUAAAUGGAGUCAAUAUAGUGAUUAUAUUAAUUACAACCUAACUAAAUAGUGUUUGGACUCAAGCAUGGUACCUACAAUGGGCAAUAGAUCGUAAUAAUACCAUAAUUUACAAAUUCAACGAAAGAGAGUACUCCCUCUUUCGGUGAGACAAUUUUCAUUUUGAGCGUCCCAUAUAUAUUACUUAAAAAUUUAAUAUAAUUAUUAUUAUUGAGUAUAAUAUAUAAAUAUAAAUAUAAAUUAUACUCAUAAUAAUUUAUAUUUUCAAGAUUAAUCACUCAACGAGCCAAAUAUUAUCAAACUCAAGCUUAGUUUAAAUAUUUAUCAAAUUUCAUUAGACGAGUUUGAACGAAUUUGUAAGCGGCUUAGUUUGUAUAUAGCCUAACUUGCGGCGUACAGCCAAUGUUGCCAGGUUGGGACGGCCAGAAUUAGUAACUAAUUAAUUAUUAAAAUAGUAAUUAAAAUUUAAUAAUUCUUAAUUGGAAUUUAAUCAUUAUCCAAAGUUUAUUAAAUUCCAAAUCCGAAUUCCUUCUUGUGACAAUGGGUCCCACCCCCCAGCUUCCCGAAAGGCGCCUCUCUUACGGAAGACUCUAUGCUACCACCCUGCGUAAAACGCCUUCCCCUUAAGAUGUUUACACGUGUAUUCCUUUAUAAAACCACGGUUUUGUUUUUAUUAAUUUUUAAGUUGUCCCUGGUUUUGAUAAUACCUCCGGACUCCGGUUCGUGGCUUUUUGUUAGUUAUCUUUAAAUUUGUUUUAUAAAUGUGUGGGAGUCUGAUUUAAUGAAACUUUGAUGUUAAAUAUAAUAUUAUUUUGGGUGGACCAUAUUUUAUUUGUUAUUUUGAAAAUCUUAUUAUUUAGAAAAUUUGGGUUAUUAAAUCGUUGGAAAUGGAUCUUUAUGGACAGUACAGCUACUAAUAUUAUUACGUCCAGGAAUAUUUAUGAAAUUUUUAUCUCUUAUAAUCGUUAACUUAGUGAAACGAAAAUCAAGUCAGUGUAAAUGUUUUUUAUGUAUUAAAUCGUUAUCUCUUUCAUUUGUAUUUUUUUUAUUUUGUUUAUUAAAUUUAUUUUAUUAAAUAUUCUUGUUAUAUUUUUUUGUCAUUUAUACUCUUUUUUUUUCUUUUUCUUUUUUGGAUCAUCUUAUAAAUGUUUUUUUAAAUGGCUUCUUCAAAUUUUGGAUUAUUUUUGUAAUUUUAAUUUUAAUCUUUUACGUUUGACAUGCCUAAAAUAGUGGAAAUAAAUUUAAAAUUAUUUUUCUUUGCAUAAGGAAAAUAAUUGGUGUUUUAACUAUUGAUAAUCUAAAUUUGACGAUGUAUACAUUAUCCAGCGGUAUUAUCAAUUUUUCCGACGGUAUUCUCAAUUUUUCCGACGGUAUUCUCAAUUUACCCGGCGGUAUUCUCAAUUUUUCCGGCGGUAUUAUCAGUAUUCUCAAUUUUUUCCAGCGGUAUUCUCAAUUUUUUCGGCGGUAUUCUCAAUUUUCCCGGCAGUAUUCUCAAAUUACCCGAACGUAUUGUCAAUUUAUCCGACGAUAUUUUCAAUUUACCCGGAGGUAUUCUCAAUUUAAUCCGGCGGUAUUCUCAAUUUACCCGGACGUAUUAGUAAAUUUCCACUUGAAUAUCCAAUUGCACUUACAAAUGGGGUUACCACUAACAAAAAAAUGCAAUUAAUGCAAGCACAACAUACGACGAGAUCACCGAAACCAAGAACGACCUAAUUGUUGGCGUUUGGAGAUCUUUCGCGUUCACUCCUUCGGGGCAUCGAUGGCGUUUUGAAAAUAUCUAACAGUAGAUUUUGGAGGCCCUUCGGGUAAUUUGAGAAUAUCGCCGGAAAAAUUGAGAAUACCGUCGGAAAAAUUGAGAAUACCGCCGGGAAAUUUGAGAAUACCGCCGAUAGAUUAUUAAUUUCGACAAAGGGUAGUGAUUUUUGGACACUAGGUAUCUUAGACACCUAGUGAUAAAAUUAUAACUUAAGAAUGUUAAUUUGAUUAGUGAUUAACUCAUCACUCAUAACUAAUCUAAGUUUCCUAGUAAGAAUUCAAGAUUCUUAGUAAGAAUCUUAUAAUUAUAACUUAAGAAUGUUAAUUUGAUUAGUGAUUCACUAUCACUCAUCACUCAUCACNNNNNNNNNNNNNNNNNNNNNNNNNNNNNNNNNNNNNNNNNNNNNNNNNNNNNNNNNNNNNNNNNNNNNNNNNNNNNNNNNNNNNNNNNNNNNNNNNNNNNNNNNNNNNNNNNNNNNNNNNNNNNNNNNNNNNNNNNNNNNNNNNNNNNNNNNNNNNNNNNNNNNNNNNNNNNNNNNNNNNNNNNNNNNNNNNNNNNNNNNNNNNNNNNNNNNNNNNNNNNNNNNNNNNNNNNNNNNNNNNNNNNNNNNNNNNNNNNNNNNNNNNNNNNNNNNNNNNNNNNNNNNNNNNNNNNNNNNNNNNNNNNNNNNNNNNNNNNNNNNNNNNNNNNNNNNNNNNNNNNNNNNNNNNNNNNNNNNNNNNNNNNNNNNNNNNNNNNNNNNNNNNNNNNNNNNNNNNNNNNNNNNNNNNNNNNNNNNNNNNNNNNNNNNNNNNNNNNNNNNNNNNNNNNNNNNNNNNNNNNNNNNNNNNNNNNNNNNNNNNNNNNNNNNNNNNNNNNNNNNNNNNNNNNUUCUUACUUACGAAUCUUAAAUUACUUACUUAGGAAUCUUAGAUUAGUGAUGAGUGAAUCACUAAUCAAACAUACAUUCUUAAGUUAUAAUUAUAAGAUUCUUACUAAAAAUCUUGAAUUCUUACUAGGAAUCUUAGAUGAGUGAUGAGUGAAUCACUAAUCAAAUUAACAUUCUUAAGUUAUAAUUAUAAGAUUCUUACUAAGAAUCUUGAAUUCUUACUAGGAAACUUAGAUUUGUGAUGAGUGAUGAGUUAAUCACUAAUCAAACUAACAUUCUUAAGUUAUAAUUUUAUCACUAGGUGUCUAAGAUACCUAGUGGUGAAUCGUGAUUGAGCGGAUGAUAAUUUAAUCGGUGAAUUGUGGUUAGAUUAUGAAUUUUACCUAGUGUUUGAACGUGAGGAUUGAGAGAGAAAGUUGAAUUGCUGAGAACAAAAGGAAAUUUGCUGUUGUACUAGUAUAUAGCACGUAGUAUUACAUUGCAGGAGUGCAUGGGGUAUUUAUAGAGUACAUCUGAGGGUAAAAAAGUAAUUUCAUCUUAGAAGACAUGCUCCCCGCGUUGUCUGGGGUAUAGUGGUAAUAUCGCUUGUAAGCGGGCGAUUCCUCUGUGAAUGGACGAUUUCUCUGCUCUGGCGCUUCCCGGGUAAAGCAGUCACUUCUACCGUUGACUAUCUUGCGUGGUAGAGCAUUCCUCUAACUUCGGUGAUUCCUCUGACUGAGCCCAUUUCUCUGGCGAAGUCCAUUCUUCUGGCGGAAUCCAUUCCUCUGACCCAAACGAUUCCUCUAUUCAGGUUCAUUCCUCUGCUCCGCAUAUAUUACUCCUCAUCACCUAGUGUCCAAAAAUCACUACCCUUUGUCGAAAUUAAUAAUCUACCGGCGGUAUUCUCAAUUUUUCUGACGGUAUUCUCAAUUUUUUCGGCGGUAUUCUCAAUUUUUCCUGCGGUAUUCUUAAUUUUUCUGGCGGUAUUCUCAAAUUACCCGGAGGUAUUGUCAAUUUUCCCUUCAUUUGGUUCACCGGUCACGUGAUUAAUAAUAUUCCACUGCAAGUCUUUUAUAUUUGUACAUGUAGAUUGAAAAAUAUUCCAUCACGUGAUUUAAUGUAAAAUAUUUGUACGUGAUUCUGUGCAUGAGUAUGGCAACACAUCUACUUCUCAUCAGAAUCAGCCACGUUUUUCCCUUCAAAAUCCAUCUGAUUAUAAUUUUGAUCCCAGAUAUAUGGAGUAUAUGAUGCAGGUAGUAAUUGUUUUUUUUGGCCAAACAUUUUAAUAUUCAUAUACAAUUUUUCUAAAAAUUUUAAUUUUUGAAGGGAUUGACGACUGAGGGCCUCCAAAAUCUACUAUUAGAUAGUUUCAAAACGACAUCGAUGCCCCGAAGGAGUGAACGUGAAAGAUCUCCACACGCCAACAAUUAGGUUGUUCUUGGUUUCGGUGAUCUGAUCGUAUGUUGUGCUUGCAUUAAUUGCGUUUUUUUGUUAGUGGUAACCCCAUUUGUAAGUGCAAUUGGAUAUUCAAGUGAAAAUUUGUCAAUACCUCCGGGUAAAUUGAGAAUACCGCCGGAUUAAAUUGAGAAUACCUCCGGGUAAAUUGAAAAUAUCGUCGGGUAAAUUGACAAUACCUCCGGGUAAUUUGAGAAUACCGCCGGGAAAAUUGAGAAUACCACCGGAUAAAUUGAGAAUACCGUCAGAAAAAUUGAGAAUACCGCCGGAAAAAUUGAGAAUACCGCCGGAUAAUGUAUACAUUGUCAAAUUUAGAUUAUCAAUAGUUAAAAUACCAAUUAAUUUUAUUAAUUAAUAAUGAAUAUAACAAAUUCAUCACAGAUUAAAUACAUAUUUUUUUAUUCAUAAUAAAUUAUUUAAUAUACAUCUUAAAUUAAAUAGAAUGAAAAAAUUGGUGGGGGAACAAAUUGUAAAAUUAUGUUUUAAUGUGUGUAUAUAAAAUUAUGUUUUAAUGUGUGUGUGUCUUUAUUUCAAAUUAAAUAUAAGCUUUUAUUCAAGAUUGUUAUUGAAAAGAAAAUAUGAAACAAACUGUGUUUCUCAAAUCUACUGUUAGAUAUUUUCAAAUUAUAUAUUUUAUAUAUAUAUUUAUUAUUAAUACACACAAAAUAAAUAAUAUUAACAAUUUUUAAGAGAUGUCAUAAUUUUUAUAUUAGUAAACAAAUGUAUAAAGUAUUUUUAUAAAGUAGUACUAGUGGUAUGUAGUGAAUUCGCACUACAAAAAAACCGGAGAUUACCGGCGGCGUUUUGCCGUCGGUAAUGAGGGGACGGCCGCCGAAAAUUAGUCUACCGGGGUGUCACGAUGUAAUAGCCCGCUCUUUUAUUCUAUGAUUAAGAUAAGUAAAUGCGAUAUUUAUUUAUCGCAUUCUUCAGUAAAUGAAAUCCAGUAAUUAUUUAUGUUUAAAAUUCAGCUAUGAUUCUAAAUUGUAUGUAUACUAUGCCUAUUAUUAUUUUAGUUGUGCUUGUUAACUCGAGUGAGAAAAACCGCAAUAUAAAUUAUUGAGCCAGUCAAUAAUUUAUAUUUUCAGAUUUAUAAUUGACUUAGCAAAGUCAAGUUAAAGUUGUUAUUUU